UGCCAUAUGGCUCCGAAAGUUUACAAUUCUAAUUUUAAAGAGCAAUCAACUUGUGAUAGCAAUAGCAGGCGCGGUUGUUAACGUGAACGCAAUACGAAUAAUUUCUAAUACAUUACCACAGUUCGGUGAGAUGUGAGACAAUACACACAUUCCAUCAAUAACAUUAACUUGGGUUAGCAUAUGUCAACAAAACUCUCAAAAAGUGUAAAAUUACUGUAGUACAAAUAUUCAUGAGUCAUGACAAGUCAUUGAAGAGGGCUGUGACCCUCAUUGGCAGUUGGAUGCCAUUUUCUGUGUUGCCCAUGCACUACUAUAGUCUGCAAGGCAGACAAGAUGCUAUCGUGUGGCAGUACUCUCAAUAUUGAAGAUGUAAAAACUUGCCAAUAAGGCGAUAAUUGCAUCAAAACAACUGUUGCUUGUUAUGGAACUUUCAUCCUUUCCCUCGAUAACGUAUGAUUGACAGUUUCUAGUCGUAUUCUAGUUCGCUGCCAGCGGCCACAAUAUGGGUUGUGAUAAGUUUGAAAUUGUAUCAUUUGCAUCUUCGGACUCCUACAAAAAAAAUACAAUUAGAAUGUAUGCAAUAAUCCGCAAUUACAGAGGGUUAUAGGACACAUAAGAUAUAAGGUCUCACCAAGAAACCCAAUAAUAAAGCUCUUACAUACAUCAGACACAAAAUACCUGAAAAAGUAUAUUACACCCGACCCCUAAGUAUAACAUACCAAUAUACAGUAAUAUUUUGAAAUAUCAAAAUAUAUGCUGCCUCGCAACAAACUCUCCUAAAAAUAAACUCACUAUAAGCACACAAAUAUUAUUCAAAUUUACAGUAUACUGUAUCAUAAGAAAAAUAAAUACAAAAUUGGAAACAUGAAUUUCCAUAGCCUGGUACAAGUGAUUCAGGGAGACUGCAUAAAAACAUAAUAUAUGAUAUACAUAUAACUAUACAAUAGGCGUUCGACAGAGUAGAGUAAUAAAGUUCAAAAUCAUUUUGUUUGAAUUACUUCACCUAUCUAUUUGUUUAAAAUUAUGUAUGGUAGAUUCUGUGGUAUGAACACUUGCAAAAUUAUUCAAAAAAAUUUAAAAUAUAAUGUGACAUUAUGUUGCCUUGACAACACUUGACACAACGUGAGCCUGCGUUCAGUGCUGGCCAAUUGCUAAUAGUUCACGUUAAAUCAAUGUUUGGAAAAUAUAGGCUAGGGGUUGCUGCAUGCAUUUAUUUCUAGUUAAAUAUUAAUUGGAUAUACUCAUGUCACUAGUGGUAUUCAUUAUAUCUUGGUCAGACAAAACAAAUUCCAUAUUUAAGAUGUUUGGCAACCGACAGGUUAAAAUAGACAUCUUAUGAAUUAUAUCACAAACGAUUAAUAAAUUUUU